rnacentral:rRNA from 1 species
GACGAACGCUGGCGGCGUGCUUAACACAUGCAAGUCGAACGGAAAGGCCCUGCUUUUGUGGGGUGCUCGAGUGGCGAACGGGUGAGUAACACGUGAGUAACCUGCCCUUGACUUUGGGAUAACUUCAGGAAACUGGGGCUAAUACCGGAUAGGAGCUCCUGCUGCAUGGUGGUGGUUGGAAAGUUUCGGCGGUUGGGGAUGGACUCGCGGCUUAUCAGCUUGUUGGUGGGGUAGUGGCUUACCAAGGCUUUGACGGGUAGCCGGCCUGAGAGGGUGACCGGCCACAUUGGGACUGAGAUACGGCCCAGACUCCUACGGGAGGCAGCAGGGGGGAAUAUUGCACAAUGGGCGGAAGCCUGAUGCAGCAACGCCGCGUGCGGGAUGACGGCCUUCGGGUUGUAAACCGCUUUCGCCUUUGACGAAGCGUGAGUGACGGUAAUGGGUAAAGAAGCACCGGCUAACUACGUG